rnacentral:rRNA from 1 species
CGCUGGCGGCAGGCCUAACACAUGCAAGUCGAACGGUAACAGGAAGAAGCUUGCUUCUUUGCUGACGAGUGGCGGACGGGUGAGUAAUGUCUGGGAAACUGCCUGAUGGAGGGGGAUAACUACUGGAAACGGUAGCUAAUACCGCAUAACGUCGCAAGACCAAAGAGGGGGACCUUCGGGCCUCUUGCCAUCGGAUGUGCCCAGAUGGGAUUAGCUUGUUGGUGGGGUAACGGCUCACCAAGGCGACGAUCCCUAGCUGGUCUGAGAGGAUGACCAGCCACACUGGAACUGAGACACGGUCCAGACUCCUACGGGAGGCAGCAGUGGGGAAUAUUGCACAAUGGGCGCAAGCCUGAUGCAGCCAUGCCGCGUGUAUGAAGAAGGCCUUCGGGUUGUAAAGUACUUUCAGCGGGGAGGAAGGGAGUAAAGUUAAUACCUUUGCUCAUUGACGUUACCCGCAGAAGAAGCACCGGCUAACUCCGUGCCA